GCCUGGCAUAGUUUUGCAUGCCUGUAGUCCCAGUUACUUGUGAGAAACUGAUGCAGGNCUGAUGCAGGAGGAUCGCUUGAGCCCAAGAGUUCUGGGCUAUAGUGUACUAUGCGGAUUGGGUAUCCACACUAAGUUUGACAUCAAUAUGGUGACAUCCUAAGAGCAGGGGACCACCAGGUUGCCUAAAGAGGGUUGAACUAGCUCAGAUCAGAAACUAGUAGGUCAAAACUCCCAUCCUUAUCAGUAGUUGGGAUGGCGUCUGUGAAUAACCACUUCUCUUCAGCCUCUGCAACAUAUCAAGACCUCAUUU
rnacentral:SRP_RNA from 1 species